rnacentral:lncRNA from 1 species
CUUGCCUGCUUCUAAAGUUUGAGCCAAGGAAGUUGAGAGGUUUGUAAACAUGUGUACUGCCAGAUCCAUCCUAGGGUAGGAAAGGGAGAAAGGCAAAUAGAAUAUUGUUGUUGUUGUUAUUACUAUUGCAACCAAUAAUAUUUAUUUUGAAAUAGUGUUUUGCUCCAUAGCCCAGGAUAGACUUGAACUCACAUUCCUCCUGCCUGCCUCAGCUUCCCCAGGGCUUGGAAUUUAUAAGACACAAGCAUACCUGUGUAGGAACCUCUGUAGAGAAAAAUCUAACUGGCAGAAACUGUGUUACUAUCUAGAAGACACUGGACCUCUGUUAUAACUCCUGAAAGGACUGUGCAACAAAGCUGAAUUUAUGAAGCUUGGAAGAUGUUGUUUAAAAGUUGAGGGCCAGCUCGGUGACUCAAUGGGUAAGGGUGCUUGAGCCAACCAAGUGUGACAAUCUGAAUUUGAUCCCCUAGGCUCCACCUGGCAGAAUAUGAGAACUAACUUUUGCAAGUUGUGCUUGACACGGGUAUAUGCACGCAUGCAUAUACACACAUACACACACACACACACACACACACACACAGGUGUUUUAAAAAACUAUUGAUAGAUUUGAAACUAUAAAGAAUUCCAAGGAUUUGAACAUGUCUAGAAGAUUAUAAAGCCCAGGGUGGGUACAUCAGUUAUUAGGGAUGUAAUAAUAUUAUGGCAACCUGAGCCUAGCUUUCCAAGUCCUUCCUAUAGCUUGAUUUAUGACUGAAACUGAGCUGAGCACAGUUUCCAGCGUUUCUCCCUGGUCCCUUAUUUCCUCCUACCCUUUCCCUCAUGACCCUCUGGCCUAUGCUAUAGAGGGUGGAUUACCAGCCUGACACCAGCACUUACAGGCUGCUCAUAGCUACCUCCACUCUACCUUCGUUUCUCUUUCUGCCUGCCUGCCUGUCUUCCUUCCUUCCUUCCUUCCUUCCUUCCUUCCUUCCUUCCUGACUUCCCUUCCUAUUUGGUCAGGCUUUUCCAUCCCAUCCGGGAUCUCCUCCAGUCUCCAUCUGCCAAAGCCUCCCCCAUUCCAGUCACACCUCUGGUUUCCACAGAAGUGGCUUGAGCCUGGUACUGAUCCUUGUGUGCCUGCAACACUUAUACUAUUUCUCUUUUCUGCUCCACGAUGCCGUCCGUCCAUCCAUCCAUCCAUCCAUCCAUCCAUCACUAGGUUGGAGUAAUUUGAGAUUGAAAAUGGCAGCAAAGCAGAGGGGUGAAGCAAGACACCUGAACCCAGACCUCUGUUCCAGUCCACAUGCACAUUGGGCCAAUGUCACAUGCUUCUCUUGGUCUCAGUUUCUAGAUCUACAACAUGAGAAAGGAAUCUUAGAGACCUCAGGGGCUUGUAAAGAGGUUCAGGGAGGUCCAUCGAUGCAAAGGGCUCCAUGACCAGGUGGCUGUUCCAAUGAUUGCUGUCAGUGCUUGCUGGAAGGUCACUGGACAGGACAGGGCUGGAGGCUCCAAACUCAGCCAACCGUAUUAACAUCCCCAUCCAUCGAGGCUUUUUAAAAUAAGGGCAGCUAAUGAUCAAGAACAUGCCCGGGUUUUACAUUCGCGUCUUGCCUCUCCCAAGCCUCUUUCUGAAGGAAGUGCUAAUGAGCAGAGAAAUGGCCAAAAGGUGAUCAGCAGGAGGGUGGGGUAGGUGGAAGCAGCUUGGCCCGCUCUAACUAGGCAAUCAGCUCUGGAAGAAGAGGCCUAACAGGCGGGCAGAGAGUCCUGCGCCCAGUGCCAGCCCCACUUGGCACCAGAAGGAAGUGAGAGCUUUUGCAGGGGCGGCAGCCUUGUAUCUGGUUCUAGAGAUGCUACGGAAAGGAGCCCACAACCUUCUCCACCCCAGUUUAGAUCCGUGCACCUCACUGAGCCUCCUCACAAGCCCCCAUGAAGAGGGUCGGUCUCCUGUCUUAUUUUAUAGAUCUGGAAACGGAGUCAGUCUGGGAGAGGCAAGUACUUCUCUCUGCUUGUGAGAAGGAGUGGGUGCCGACUCUUGCAAACCUUCCUUCACCAACUCUGCGCUGCAUGGUGAGCCCAGGGAGCGCGAGCCGGCAUUUGCCAGGGAUCCUUCCCACGGGCCGAGAGCUCAAUGUUUCUCAAGCCUGGCUGCACUGGAGAAGCACCUGCUGCCGUCCUUAAAAGGUUGUUGUGUGAUAUUUAAAGGAGUCCGCUUGUCAGUACUUAGAGCCACGGAGUUUGCAAAUAAGAGUGUAUCAAAUUAAUAUAGGCCUAAUAAAAGAUUCUGUGCUAGCUGAAGCGACUGUCUGAAAUCCUGGCUGCAUCUGUCUUUUCUUUACUGUAGUUCCAUUCACGUAAAAAAUAAAAAUAAAAAAUCAGCUCCUUUGGGAGGAAACGAUGCUUGCUUAAGGAGGGCAUUGAGAGGGGCAGAAGUGUUUAUGAAAUGCUCUCGAGAAGCCAUGAGCUGAGCUCGGUGCCAGCAGAGCUUCAGCUGACUCUUAAGUGCCAUGUCAUCACCAGAGGCCGAGAGCUUGGGGCCACACACUGGAAGCUCGGGA